rnacentral:lncRNA from 1 species
CUUUCCCAGUCCUAUGGGAGCACUCCACCUCAACCUUCCUGUGGUUCAUCUUCAGUUUCUCCGAGAUCCUUUCCCUCACUUUGUUGACUGGUAGGGCUGAAAGGGCUGGUAGGGAUGGUAGGUAUGGUAGAAUGUAUGCUGGUAGGGUUGGUAGGGCUAGUACAGAUGGUAGGAUGGUAGGAUGGUAGGGAUGGUAGGGAUGGUAAGAUGGUAGGGAUGGUAGGAUGGUAGGGAUGGUAGAGAUAUAUGCUGGUAGAGUUGGUAGAGCUAGUACAAAUGGUAGGGAUGGUAGGGCAGGUAGGGCUGGUAGGGAUGUAUGCUGGUAGGGUUGAAAGGGAUGGUAGGGAUGUUUGCUGGUAGGCCUGGUAGUGCUGGUAGUGCUGGUAGGGAUGGUAGCCUGGUAGAGUUCAUGGGGAUGUAUGAUAGUAGGGUUGGUAGGGCUGGUAGGUUGUUAGAUUUCGUAGGGAUGUAUGAUGGUAGUGCUUGUAGUGCUGGUAGGGUUGUAUGCUUUUAGGGCUGGUAGGGAUGGUAGGGCUGGUAAUGUCCAUAGGGCUUGUAGGGAUGCUAAGAUUGGUAGAGAUGGUAGGGAUGUGUGCUAGUAGUGCUGGUAGGCAUGGUAGGGAUGUAUGCUGGUAGGGCUGGAAGUGCUGGUAGGGAUGGUAGGGCUGAUAGGGAUGGUAGGGAUGAUAGGGAUGUAUGCUGGUAGGGCUGGUAGGCUGAUAGGGAUGGUAGGGCUAAUAGGGAUGGUAGGGCUGAUAGGGACAGUAGUGCUGGUAGAGCUUGUAUUGUUGAUUGGGCUGUUAGGGAUGGUAGGGAUGGUAGUGAUGUAUGAUGUAGGGACGGUAGGGAUGGCAUGGACGGUAGGGAUGGUAGGGAUGGUAGGGAUAGUAGGGAUGGUAGGGAUCGUAUGGAUAGUAGUGAUGGUAG